GAUGCUGCACUGCGUUUUAAGCGUCUCUUCCUUCUUUCCCAGUUUUCUCACCUUCUCCCACUUGCAUCAACCUCUCUGCCACAUGGUUUAAGAUCCUUGGACCAACACCUAUACUCACGAUGGAGGCUGAUAUUUAAAUACUUCUUGGUGAAAUGAGGUAACAGCUGUGAUGCUCAGAAUGGAAAGUGACGUGUCCGGGGUCACAUGUCUGGAGAGUUGGAAGAGCAGGAAUGGAGGUCAUGCUCGUUUGACUCGGUGUUCAGUGCUCACCCAGCACACCUGCUACCUUUCCCAGCAAGUCAGUCUCACAAGGUUAUAUAAUCCAACUGUAUGACUGACUGCCCCAGACCCUGCCUUCCCAUCCAUAGGUGACUCCCCUCCAGCUUGCUGUGUUGGAGAGUGACUUAACUUUGAGUCCAGAGUAUGAAUUCUGCAACCAAACUGCCUGGACUUGAAUUGUGACUCUGCUACUUACGUUAGCUAUGCAAUGUUGGGCCAUAAAACUUCCCUACGCCCCAGUUUCCUCAUCUACGAAAUGGGAACAGUGGUAUAUUUACCUGUAGGGAGUUAAGAUUAAGCAACAGAAUAUAUGUAAAUCAUUUAGCACAGUGUCUGAUGUGCAUAGCAGAUGUUCAAUAAAUGUUAACUGUAUUAGUCAAUAGCUGACCUUUUAGAAACAAAAACAGAAAAACCCUGGCGCUGUUGUGA
ensembl:lncRNA